rnacentral:misc_RNA from 1 species
GAUGAAGAACGCAGCGAAAUGCGAUAAGUAGUGUGAAUUGCAGAAUUCAGUGAAUCAUCGAAUCUUUGAACGCACAUUGCGCCCUUUGGUAUUCCAAAGGGCAUGCCUGUCCGAGCGUCAUUUGUACCCUCAAGCUUUGCUUGGUGUUGGGCGUCUUGUCUCUAGCUUUGCUGGAGACUCGCCUUAAAGUAAUUGGCAGCCGGCCUACUGGUUUCGGAGCGCAGCACAAGUCGCACUCUCUAUCAGCAAAGGUCUAGCAUCCAUUAAGCCUUUUUUUCAACUUUUGACCUCGGAUCAGGUAGGGAUACCCGCUGAACUUAAGCAUAUCAAUAAGCGGAGGA